rnacentral:tRNA from 1 species
GGAGGGUAUAGCUCAGUGGUAGAGUGCCUGCUUAGCAUGCGUGAGGUCCUGGGUUCAAUUCCCAGUAUCUCCA